UGGGGAAUUUUGGACAAUGGGCGCAAGCCUGAUCCAGCCAUGCCGCGUGCGGGAAGAAGGCCUUCGGGUUGUAAACCGCUUUUGUCAGGGAAGAAAUCCUUUGAGCUAAUACCUCGGGGGGAUGACGGUACCUGAAGAAUAAGCACCGGCUAACUACGUGCCAGCAGCCGCGGUAAUACGUAGGGUGCAAGCGUUAAUCGGAAUUACUGGGCGUAAAGCGUGCGCAGGCGGUUAUGCAAGACAGAGGUGAAAUCCCCGGGCUCAACCUGGGAACUGCAUUUGUGACUGCAUAGCUAGAGUACGGUAGAGGGGGAUGGAAUUCCGCGUGUAGCAGUGAAAUGCGUAGAUAUGCGGAGGAACACCGAUGGCAAAGGCAAUCCCCUGGACCUGUACUGACUCUCAUGCACGUGAGCGGGGGGGGCGAGCA
rnacentral:rRNA from 1 species